CUCUUUCUCGCAAUUCAGGCGGCUCCAAUUAU
rnacentral:sRNA from 1 species